GUGAAUCAUCGAAUCUUUGAACGCACAUUGCGCCCGCCAGUAUUCUGGCGGGCAUGCCUGUUCGAGCGUCAUUUCAACCCUCAAGCUCAGCUUGGUGUUGGGGAUCGGCAAGGCGUCCUCCGGGUCGCGCCGUCCCCCAAAUUUAGUGGCGGUCUCGCUGUAGCUUCCUCUGCGUAGUAAUACACCUCGCUCUGGAGUCUCGGUGCGGCCACGCCGUAAAACCCCCAACUUUUUCUGGUUGACCUCGAAUCAGGUAGGACUACCCGCUGAACUUAAGCAUAUCAAUAAGCGGAGGA
rnacentral:misc_RNA from 1 species